rnacentral:ncRNA from 1 species
GAAACGGCAAACCGUCCGAAAGGGCGGGACGCAAAGUCAGGAAGCUAAAGCGGAAACGCCAAGCUCGUCCGACCGCC